UUCAAAUAAUAAGUGAUGCAUUUUGAAAUCCACAAUCAGAAAUUACGCAAGCAUAUAUAUUUGGCUGAUUGUAAAGUUGCUCAAAUGACAUGGCAUGUUAGCAUUCUUCUUGUAGUUUGUCCCCUAAGUAGUGGUAAAAUUAACAAUAGCAUUCUGCUGCCUAUCAAUGUUACUGCAGAUCACUAUCUUCUCUUUGAUUUUCCAACACCAGGAAUAUUAUCAUGAAACUCAUAAAGAAGUUAAACCUCAGGUUAUGAUUAUAUUCUUCUUUUGUGAUAUUGUUGCUUUGACCAUUCACCAUGACCAUGAAUGAUUGAUGUGCCUUCUGCUCUUCAUUUGGUUGGCUUCCUGAUUUUCUGCAGUUGGCUGCAACGCAUUUAGUUGAUGCCCAUAUAUGCAGUGACGUUGCAAAUUAUGUUACUGCAUUUCUUCUUUUUUAUCAACCAUGAUACAUAUGGAGCUCCCACACAUAAAUGUCUUCUCUAAGAUUGAUUUGAUACAUAACUAUGGAAGCUAGGUACUUGCAUGAACUUCUUACUCAAAGAGAUGAAUUUGACACCAUUGCUUUGUUGAUCCGGCAUCUACAUAUAAUUGUCAAAGAGACGACUUUGUACGUAUUGAAGUGGCUGAUUAUAUACAGAGUUUGGCUACCAACAUGAUUUUGAGUAAGACUAGUUUUUGCUUUGAAGCAAAGUUUGGUGUUGAACUUUUGUAGUUGGUUGCUAAUAUGUUUAUAGGCUAGCCUUUGUAGGUUUUGGGGUUUUAUUUUGUGAAUUAUGUAGAAUCAUGAAUGAAGAUGAGAAAAUUAAUGGAAAGCCCCAAUUUUUGAAUGAUGAGA